rnacentral:tRNA from 1 species
AGUUAUUUAGUUUAAUAAAAAUAUUUACUUUGAAAGUAAAAGAUAGGCUACUUAAUAACUU